UACAGGGGGUGCAAACUGUUGCUCGGAAUCAUUGGGCGUAAAGCGCACGUAGGCGGUCUGUUAUGUCGGAUGUGAAAGCCCUUGGCUCAACUGAGGAAGUGCAUCCGAAAACUGGCAGGCUAGAGUACUAAAGAGGGAUCGCGGAAUUCCCGGUGUAGAGGUGAAAUUCGUAGAUAUCGGGAGGAACACCGGUGGCGAAAGGCGGUCGACUGGUCGG
rnacentral:rRNA from 1 species